rnacentral:rRNA from 1 species
UAGCAUAUCAAUAAGCGGAGGAAAAGAAACCAACAGGGAUUGCCCUAGUAACGGCGAGUGAAGCGGCAACAGCUCAAAUUUGAAAUCUGGCCCUUUUUGGGGUCCGAGUUGUAAUUUGCAGAGGGCGCUUUGGUGUCGGCAGCGGUCCAAGUUCCUUGGAACAGGACGUCACAGAGGGUGAGAAUCCCGUACGUGGUCGCUAGCCUUCACCGUGUAAAGCCCCUUCGACGAGUCGAGUUGUUUGGGAAUGCAGCUCUAAAUGGGAGGUAAAUUUCUUCUAAAGCUAAAUACUGGCCAGAGACCGAUAGCGCACAAGUAGAGUGAUCGAAAGAUGAAAAGCACUUUGGAAAGAGAGUCAAACAGCACGUGAAAUUGUUGAAAGGGAAGCGCUUGCAGCCAGACUUGCCUGUAGUUGCUCAUCCGGGCUUUUGCCCGGUGCACUCUUCUAUGGGCAGGCCAGCAUCAGUUUGGGCGGUUGGAUAAAGGUCUCUGUCAUGUACCUCUCUUCGGGGAGAACUUAUAGGGGAGACGACAUGCAACCAGCCCAGACUGAGGUCCGCGCAUCUGCUAGGAUGCUGGCGUAAUGGCUGUAAGCGGCCCGUCUUGAAACACGGACCAAGGAGUCUAACAUCUAUGCGAGUGUUUGGGUGUCAAGCCCGAACGCGUAAUGAAAGUGAACGGAGGUGGGAACCCUUCGGGGCGCACCAUCGACCGAUCCUGAUGUCUUCGGAUGGAUUUGAGUAAGAGCAUAGCUGUUGGGACCCGAAAGAUGGUGAACUAUGCUUGAAUAGGGUGAAGCCAGAGGAAACUCUGGUGGAGGCUCGCAGCGGUUCUGACGUGCAAAUCGAUCGUCAAAUUUGGGCAUAGGGGCGAAAGACUAAUCG